rnacentral:rRNA from 1 species
AUUGAACGCUGGUGGCAGGCCUAACACAUGCAAGUCGAGCGGUAGCACAGAGAGCUUGCUCUCGGGUGACGAGCGGCGGACGGGUGAGUAAUGUCUGGGAAACUGCCUGAUGGAGGGGGAUAACUACUGGAAACGGUAGCUAAUACCGCAUAACGUCGCAAGACCAAAGUGGGGGACCUUCGGGCCUCAUGCCAUCAGAUGUGCCCAGAUGGGAUUAGCUGGUAGGUGGGGUAACGGCUCACCUAGGCGACGAUCCCUAGCUGGUCUGAGAGGAUGACCAGCCACACUGGAACUGAGACACGGUCCAGACUCCUACGGGAGGCAGCAGUGGGGAAUAUUGCACAAUGGGCGCAAGCCUGAUGCAGCCAUGCCGCGUGUGUGAAGAAGGCCUUCGGGUUGUAAAGCACUUUCAGCGGGGAGGAAGGCGAUAAGGUUAAUAACCUUGUCGAUUGACGUUACCCGCAGAAGAAGCACCGGCUAACUCCGUGCCAGCAGCCGCAGUAA